GGAAGGAGAUGGUAGUGUGUCAGGGUCUAGUCCACGUUCUGAUAUCAGCCAGCCAGCAUCUCAAGAUGGAAUGCGUAGGCUUAUGUCUAAAAGAGGAAAAUGGAAGAUGUUUGUUCGAGCUACCAGUCCAGAAUCUACCAGUAGGAGUUCUAGUAAAACUGGACGAGAUACUCCAGAAAAUGGAGAAACUGCAAUUGGUGCUGAAAAUUCAGAAAAAAUAGAUGAGAAUUCAGAUAAAGAGAUGGAAGUAGAAGAAUCUCCAGAGAAAAUAAAAGUACAGACAACACCAAAAGUAGAAGAAGAACAGGAUUUGAAAUUUCAGAUUGGAGAACUGGCAAAUACCCUGACAAGUAAAUUUGAGUUUCUAGGCAUUAAUAGACAAUCCAUCUCCAACUUUCAUGUGCUGCUCUUACAGACUGAGACUCGAAUUGCAGACUGGCGGGAAGGGGCUCUUAAUGGAAACUACCUUAAACGAAAACUUCAGGAUGCAGCAGAACAACUAAAACAGUAUGAAAUAAACGCCACUCCUAAAGGCUGGUCCUGCCACUGGGACAGGUACGCACUCUUCUCCCCUUUUCACCUUUCACCUUUGACAUCUCAGACAUGAUUU
rnacentral:sRNA from 1 species